GGGGCCGUAGCUCAGUAGGAUAGAGCACUAGAUUCCUAAUCUGGGGGUCGUGCGUUCGAAUCGCACCGGUCCCA
rnacentral:tRNA from 1 species